rnacentral:sRNA from 1 species
UGACCUCGGGGCCCACGGUAUGGGCUG